rnacentral:rRNA from 1 species
ACACUCCUGCGGGAGGCAGCAGUGGGGAAUUUUGGACAAUGGGCGAAAGCCUGAUCCAGCAAUGCCGCGUGAGUGAAGAAGGCCUUCGGGUUGUAAAGCUCUUUUGUCAGGGAAGAAACGGUGAGAGCUAAUAUCUUUUGCUAAUGACGGUACCUGAAGAAUAAGCACCGGCUAACUACGUGCCAGCAGCCGCGGUAAUACGUAGGGUGCAAGCGUUAAUCGGAAUUACUGGGCGUAAAGCGUGCGCAGGCGGUUUUGUAAGUCUGAUGUGAAAUCCCCGGGCUCAACCUGGGAAUUGCAUUGGGGACUGCAAGGCUAGAAUCUGGCAGAGGGGGGUAGAAUUCCACGUGUAGCAGUGAAAUGCGUAGAUAUGUGGAGGAACACCGAUGGCGAAGGCAGCCCCCUGGGUCAAGAUUGACGCUCAUGCACGAAAGCGUGGGGAGCAAACAGGAUUAGAUACCCCUGUAGUCCC